rnacentral:rRNA from 1 species
AUACGGAGGGUGCAAGCGUUAAUCGGAAUUACUGGGCGUAAAGCGCGCGUAGGCGGUUUGUUAAGUCGGAUGUGAAAGCCCCGGGCUCAACCUGGGAACUGCAUUCGAAACUGGCAAGCUAGAGUAUGGUAGAGGGAAGUGGAAUUCCGGGUGUAGCGGUGAAAUGCGUAGAUAUCCGGAGGAACAUCAGUGGCGAAGGCGGCUUCCUGGACCAAUACUGACGCUGAGGUGCGAAAGCGUGGGGAGCAAACAGGAUUAGAUACCCCAGUAGUCC